CAGCUGUUUAGAUCCUCGUCAUGCUGUCGCCAAUCGUCUCACAAGCUUAUCGAUUAGCUUAUCGAUUGUAUUCCGACGAUUAGGAGUUUUCUGAAUAAAUUGCUCACAAGAAAUUCAAAUUUACCAGCUUGGCUCGAUGAGAGGACCAGAAUGAAGGGCACAAUGGCAACCAACAUUAUCCGUGGUACACCAUUGCGAUCAUGUCGACGCGAAUUGUCUCGCAUCCUCGGUUCAUCCAAUUAUAAAAGUUAAAUGGCGGUAAGGAAAUUUUGGUGGAAAGACGGUGGAGAAUUUCGCUCGAUGAAAUAACAACGGCAGGCCACAAAGGAAGGAAGUGAGAGGGAGAUGGAAUAAAAAGAAAAAUGAAAAAAGGUGGAGCAAGGGAUGAAGCAAUGAACAGCAGAAAAGGUUGACGCAGUUGUGAGGCUGAUAACCGCACCGGGUAUUACUCUGACCAAAACGAAACAGGUAUUUUGCAGAUGUAUGAGUGCGUUACA